rnacentral:rRNA from 1 species
AACGAACGCUGGCGGCAUGCCUAACACAUGCAAGUCGAACGAGACCUUCGGGUCUAGUGGCGCACGGGUGCGUAACGCGUGGGAACCUGCCCUUAGGUUCGGAAUAACUCCCCGAAAGGGGUGCUAAUACCGGAUAAUGUCUUCGGACCAAAGAUUUAUCGCCUUUGGAUGGGCCCGCGUUGGAUUAGCUAGUUGGUAGGGUAAAAGCCUACCAAGGCGACGAUCCAUAGCUGGUCUGAGAGGAUGAUCAGCCACACUGGGACUGAGACACGGCCCAGACUCCUACGGGAGGCAGCAGUGGGGAAUAUUGGACAAUGGGCGAAAGCCUGAUGCAGCAAUGCCGCGUGAGUGAUGAAGGCCUUAGGGUUGUAAAGCUCUUUUAACCGGGAUGAUAAUGACAGUACCGGGAGAAUAAGCGCCGGCUAACUCCGUG